GAUGAACGCUGGCGGCGUGCUUAACACAUGCAAGUCGAACGAAGCAUUUGCGACAGAUUUUUUCGGAAUGAAGUUGCUUAUGACUGAGUGGCGGACGGGUGAGUAACGCGUGGGUAACCUGCCUUGUACUGGGGGAUAGCAGCUGGAAACGGCUGGUAAUACCGCAUAAGCGCACAAUGUUGCAUGACAUGGUGUGAAAAACUCCGGUGGUAUAAGAUGUAGCCGCGUCUGAUUAGCUAGUUGGUGAGAUAACAGCCCACCAAGGCGACGAUCAGUAGCCGACCUGAGAGGGUGACCGGCCACAUUGGGACUGAGACACGGCCCAGACUCCUACGGGAGGCAGCAGUGGGGAAUAUUGCACAAUGGAGGAAACUCUGAUGCAGCGACGCCGCGUGAGUGAAGAAGUAAUUCGUUAUGUAAAGCUCUAUCAGCAGGGAAGAUAGUGACGGUACCUGAAUAAGAAGCUCCGGCUAAAUACGUG
rnacentral:rRNA from 1 species